rnacentral:sRNA from 2 species
CGCGCGCACGCGCCGAAUCCCGCGAGGGAACCGGGGAACCACCACAUGGGGUGAAUCGCGCCUCCGCCCGUCGUGCCCGCACGACAGGUAUACGCGCGUAGGAGACCUUCCUGCUCCGAACCCGUCAGCUAACCCGGUAGGCGAGAAGGAAGGAAGGA